UUUCCCCCCCGGGGCCCGGGGCCCGUCCCGCCGCCCCCGCCCGCCUACGGGAGGCAGCAGUGGGGAAUAUUGCACAAUGGGCGAAAGCCUGAUGCAGCAACGCCGCGUGAGGGAUGACGGCCUUCGGGUUGUAAACCUCUUUUAGUAGGGAAGAAGCGUAAGAGUGUCA
rnacentral:rRNA from 1 species